ensembl:antisense Gm16876 predicted gene, 16876
CUCAUUUGUUUGCUCGUUUUGUUUUUGGCUGCUCAUUGCUGCUCAAAAAACCCAGGUGUAUGUUCGGUAGGGGCAGCUGCUUUGGACAGAGAAUGCCAGUGCUGCCUGCACCAAGAUGCACUGGAGAGGCACCAGACAUCCACAAGGUUCACGCAAGGACCACUGAGAACUAGCCAAACAGAGCACCUCUCAGAAACUCUCCCACCUCAACACAAUCGAACAGGAAAGCCAACAGGAGAGCGAACGAGGUCCGUGAAGGGACUCCGUUACGAGUAGCUCUUACCACGUUAUCAACACCGAAUCAACAAGAAAGGGAAUGGUUACCCUGGGGCAGAAGCCGGAAGAGCCCAGAUCGAGAACCAGACGUACUUCUAAAAUAAUCUGUGGCUCAAUUUUAGAGAAAUGGUUUGCUCAGCUGUCUCCCACAGCCUAUGGACUAUAUUUUGUAUAAGAUGCACGUUAUUGAGACAGACUUCUAUAAGGGAAAAGCCGGAGCCACAUGGCUCUACUGUCUUAGCCCUCCAGGACGUUAAUUGGAAAUGUGGACUUUGCAGAGGUGACUCAUCUUGAGUCAGGAUGGAUUUAGGUGGGCCCCCUGAAUCUAAUCAGUGUUUUCCUUGUAAGAAACACAAUGCUAUAUGCGCAAGAAGGCAGCGUAAAACAAGCCAAAGUGUGCUGAGGAUGGCCGGAAGUCACUUGAUACCCUAAAAUCAUGUUGGGUUCGGAUUUCUGGUCUCUAGAACUGUAAAAGAAUAAAUCUGUACUGUGUU